AGUGAACGCUGGCGGUAGGCCUAACACAUGCAAGUCGAACGGCAGCACAGUAAGAGCUUGCUCUUACGGGUGGCGAGUGGCGGACGGGUGAGGAAUACAUCGGAAUCUACUUUUUCGUGGGGGAUAACGUAGGGAAACUUACGCUAAUACCGCAUACGACCUACGGGUGAAAGCAGGGGAUCUUCGGACCUUGCGCGAUUGAAUGAGCCGAUGUCGGAUUAGCUAGUUGGCGGGGUAAAGGCCCACCAAGGCGACGAUCCGUAGCUGGUCUGAGAGGAUGAUCAGCCGCACUGGAACUGAGACACGGUCCAGACUCCUACGGGAGGCAGCAGUGGGGAAUAUUGGACAAUGGGCGCAAGCCUGAUCCAGCCAUACCGCGUGGGUGAAGAAGGCCUUCGGGUUGUAAAGCCCUUUUGUUGGGAAAGAAAAGCAGCGGGUUAAUACCCCGCUGUUCUGACGGUACCCAAAGAAUAAGCACCGGCUAACUUCGUG
rnacentral:rRNA from 1 species